CAAUAGCGUAUAUUAAUGUUGUUGCAGUUAAAAAGCUCGUAGUUGGAUUUCUGCUUGGAGCGACCGGUCCGCCUCGCAAGAGGUGCGCACUAGUGUCGCGUCCGGGCAUCCUUGUAGAGAGCGUUCCUGGCAUUAAGUUGUCGGGUUCGGGAUCUGCAUCGUUUACUGUGAAAAAAUUAGAGUGUUUAAAGCAGGCAUUUGCUGUGAAUACAUUAGCAUGGAAUAAUAAGAUAGGACUUUGGUGCUAUUUUGUUGGUUUGCACACCAAGGUAAUGAUUAACAGGGACAGUUGGGGGUAUUCAUAUUUAAUUGUCAGAGGUGAAAUUCUUGGAUUUAUGAAAGAUGAACCUAUGCGAAAGCAUUUACCAAGGAUGUUUUCAUUAAUCAAGAACGAAAGUUAGGGGAUCGAAGACGAUCAGAU
rnacentral:rRNA from 1 species